GACGAACGCUGGCGGCGUGCUUAACACAUGCAAGUCGAACGGAAAGGCCCUGCUUUUGUGGGGUGCUCGAGUGGCGAACGGGUGAGUAACACGUGAGUAACCUGCCCUUGACUUUGGGAUAACUUCAGGAAACUGGGGCUAAUACCGGAUAGGAGCUCCUGCUGCAUGGUGGGGGUUGGAAAGUUUCGGCGGUUGGGGAUGGACUCGCGGCUUAUCAGCUUGUUGGUGGGGUAGUGGCUUACCAAGGCUUUGACGGGUAGCCGGCCUGAGAGGGUGACCGGCCACAUUGGGACGGAGAUACGGCCCAGACUCCUACGGGAGGCAGCAGGGGGGAAUAUUGCACAAUGGGCGGAAGCCUGAUGCAGCAACGCCGCGUGCGGGAUGACGGCCUUCGGGUUGUAAACCGCUUUCGCCUGUGACGAAGCGUGAGUGACGGUAAUGGGGAAAGAAGCACCGGCUAACUACGU
rnacentral:rRNA from 1 species